rnacentral:snRNA from 1 species
GGACGUGAGGGGGAGCUAUGACCUCCAUCACCCCACUGAUCGCCAGGGUUGAUUCUGCUGAUCUGGCUGGCUGGGCAGGUGUCCCCUUUCUCCAUCACAGCUCCAUGCAAGUCCCUCCCGAAGCUGCAGGCUCCACUGCUGGGCUGAAGAGGGUGGCCUUCCCCGAUACAGGAGGACCGUUCUUCGGUCAAGGGAAUACGGAGCUGCUCUAGAACACUGCUAAGCUCAGGUCAUGAUCUCAGGGUCCUGGGAUUGGGCCCUGCAUUGGGCUCCCUGUCCCU